rnacentral:rRNA from 1 species
CCUACGGGAGGCAGCAGUGAGGAAUAUUGGUCAAUGGCCGGAAGGCUGAACCAACCAUGCCGCGUGAAGGUCAGUGCCCUAUGGGCGUUAAACUUCUUUUGUGCGGGAGCAAUAAUGGUCACGUGUGGCCAGACGAGAGUACCGUACGAAUAAGCAUCGGCUAACUCCGUGCCAGCAGCCGCGGUAAUACGGGGGAUGCAAGCGUUAUCCGGAUUUAUUGGGUUUAAAGGGUGCGUAGGCUGUGAGGUAAGUCAGCGGUGAAAUGCCCCCGCUCAACGGGGUGAAGUGCCAUUGAUACUGCCUUGCUGGAAUGCGGAUGCCGUGGGAGGAAUGUGUGGUGUAGCGGUGAAAGGCAUAGAGAUCACACAGAACACCGAUUGCGAAGGCAUCUCACGAAUCCGCGAUUGACGCUGAUGCACGAAAGCGUGGGUAUCAAACAGGAUUAGAUACCCGGGUAGUC